CCUACGGGUGGCUGCAGUGGGGAAUAUUGGACAAUGGGCGCAAGCCUGAUCCAGCCAUGCCGCGUGUGUGAAGAAGGCCUUCGGGUUGUAAAGCACUUUUGUCCGGAAAGAAAAGCUUCGGGUUAAUACCCCGGGGUUCUGACGGUACCGGAAGAAUAAGCACCGGCUAACUUCGUGCCAGCAGCCGCGGUAAUACGAAGGGUGCAAGCGUUACUCGGAAUUACUGGGCGUAAAGCGUGCGUAGGUGGUUUGUUAAGUCUGAUGUGAAAGCCCUGGGCUCAACCUGGGAAUUGCAUUGGAUACUGGCAGGCUAGAGUGCGGUAGAGGAUGGCGGAAUUCCCGGUGUAGCAGUGAAAUGCGUAGAGAUCGGGAGGAACAUCUGUGGCGAAGGCGGCCAUCUGGACCAGCACUGACACUGAGGCACGAAAGCGUGGGGAGCAAACAGGAUUAGAUACCCCAGUAGUC
rnacentral:rRNA from 1 species